AUGGUGAAGGGACCCACCAGCCAGCGCGUGAGGCUCUAUGUCCGUGGCACCAUCCUCAGAUACAAGAGCGCCUCUAUCAGUGGUCUUGGUUGGGCACGCAGAUCCAAGCAGAUCCAAAUGAACACCGAGGAGGACGUGGCCUGGUACGGUGCCAAGAUGAUGGCCUACGUCUACAAGGCCAAGUCCAAGAAUGACACCAACUACCACUGCAUCUGGGGCAAGGUCUCCCACCCCCACGGAAACGUUGGCGUCGUCCGCGCCAAGUUCACCCCCGCCGACGCAUCUGGUGAGUUGUUGGGUCGAACUGUCGUGUUGCUCUUUGAUGUACUGACUUGUGUUGCAUGCUGA
rnacentral:rRNA from 1 species